CACUGGACAUAAAUAAAAAGACAAUCCACAGUUUGAGGGACAGAUACCGUGCAUAGGGUGUUAAAGAGCAGCACAUUAGACGACAGAAACUAAAGGUUGGGGAAAUUGUAAAAUAACCGAUGUCAUGGUGAUGGAGCGAGUCGUGCUCUCGGUCCUUCUGGUUUCAGGGCUCAGCAAAGUAAUGUUGUGUACCCCUCGUGAGUAUCACUUUGUGAAAGAAUCCAAGACAUGGACUGAAGCACAGACACACUGUAGAAAGACAUACACUGACCUGGCUACUAUUGAUGACAUGGAGGACUGGAGCCUUAUUAAGAAUAUCAUUAAAGACCGGAAGAAUGGCGUCUGGAUUGGGCUUCAUAAGACAGACCAGCCUGUGGAAGUGGUCACUAGAGAACAGAUCUCUCUACAGUCCAGAAGAAAAUGAGUUUAGAAACUGGUCCAGUGGCGAACCCGGCGGA
ensembl:lncRNA